rnacentral:rRNA from 1 species
CCCGGCGUUGGGCCGCCUGUUUAUCAAAACAUCGCCUUCUGCCUAAUUAUAGAAGGUCCAGCCUGCCCAGUGAAUUAAUUCAACGGCCGCGGUAUCCUAACCGUGCGAAGGUAGCGUAAUCACUUGUUCUUUAAAUGAGGACUAGUAUGAAUGGCACCACGAAGGUUAUACUGUCUCCCACUUCUAAUCAGUUAAACUAAUCUCCACGUGAAGAAGCGUGAAUAAUCAUAUAAGACGAGAAGACCCUAUGGAGCUUUAAAUAAUGCAACAUGUGUUUUUAUUAUUUAACCUCAUGAAAAACCUACAUUUAAACAUUUUGAUUGCUAAUUUUUGGUUGGGGUGACCGCGGAGUAAAAAUAACCUCCAUAAUGAAAGAAAUUAUUUUCUAAACCUAGAGCUACAACUCAAAGUAUUAUUAAAUUAACAUCCUUUGAUCCAAUAUAUUGAUCAACGAACAAAGUUACCCUAGGGAUAACAGCGCAAUCUACUUCAAGAGCUCCUAUCGACAAGUAGGUUUACGACCUCGAUGUUGGAUCAGGGUAUCCUAGUGGUGCAGCCGCUACUAAAGGUUCGUUUGUUCAACGAUUAAAACCCUACGUGAUCUGAGUUCAGACCGGCCCAACGCCGG